rnacentral:rRNA from 1 species
GACGAACGCUGGCGGCGUGCUUAACACAUGCAAGUCGAACGGAAAGGCCCUGCUUUUGUGGGGUGCUCGAGUGGCGAACGGGUGAGUAGCACGUGAGUAACCUGCCCUUGACUUUGGGAUAACUUCAGGAAACUGGGGCUAAUACCGGAUAGGAGCUCCUGCUGCAUGGUGGGGGUUGGAAAGUUUCGGCGGUUGGGGAUGGACUCGCGGCUUAUCAGCUUGUUGGUGGGGUAGUGGCUUACCAAGGCUUUGACGGGUAGCCGGCCUGAGAGGGUGACCGGCCACAUUGGGACUGAGAUACGGCCCAGACUCCUACGGGAGGCAGCAGUGGGGAAUAUUGCACAAUGGGCGGAAGCCUGAUGCAGCAACGCCGCGUGCGGGAUGACGGCCUUCGGGUUGUAAACCGCUUUCGCCUGUGACGAAGCGUGAGUGACGGUAACGGGUAAAGAAGCACCGGCUAACUACGUG